UGUUGUGAGGCGGAACCUGAAGAAGGACGGCGGCAAAGCUCAGGCCCGACGAACAGAAAUCAUGUAAGGCCACAUACAAGUGUGAGAAUAGCCGCACGGGAUCGUUUGUGGCAGACUUGGCGGGGAUCAGAGGGAAAGAAUGU
rnacentral:ncRNA from 1 species